rnacentral:rRNA from 1 species
CCUACGGGAGGCAGCAGUGAGGAAUAUUGGUCAAUGGACGAGAGUCUGAACCAGCCAAGUAGCGUGAAGGAUGACUGCCCUAUGGGUUGUAAACUUCUUUUAUAUGGGAAUAAAAUGUUCCACGUGUGGGAUUUUGUAUGUACCAUAUGAAUAAGGGUCGGCUAACUCCGUGCCAGCAGCCGCGGUAAUACGGAGGAUCCGAGCGUUAUCCGGAUUUAUUGGGUUUAAAGGGAGCGUAGGUGGAUUGUUAAGUCAGUUGUGAAAGUUUGCGGCUCAACCGUAAAAUUGCAGUUGAAACUGGCAGUCUUGAGUACAGUAGAGGUGAGCGGAAUUCGUGGUGUAGCGGUGAAAUGCUUAGAUAUCACGAAGAACUCCGAUUGCGAAGGCAGUUCACUGGACUGCAACUGACACUGAGGCUCGAAAGUGUGGGUAUCAAACAGGAUUAGAUACCCCUGUAGUC